GUUUUGUGUCCUUUGUGUGCGCAUUGUUGGCAAAAUCAAAGUCGACAGCCCCCCAGGCGGGGGAGAGGCUUAUGGACAGAGUGACACAGACGGGCAUCAGCGCCCGCGCCCAUUUGGGGCCAGCAAAUUGAUGUGUCAUGGCGGGGAUUUGGCGACCAAAUAAUUGCCAAAAUGUGUAUGCUAACACGAGGGGACCAGAGACGCAGCGAGCGUGAGUACCUGGCGUAUGCGCAAUAUUCCAACAUUUCUGAGUGCAGUCGGGAAGGGAAAGGAGUCUAGCGUCAGCCUGGUCGGGCUGUUGCAUGUGGCAAGCUGCUUGCUGUGUUGCUGAUUUUGAUGUUGAUUUAUCACCAAGGCAGCGGCAGCGGCAGCGGCAGCGGCAGCGUCAGCGUCCUGCCACGCACAAAGCAAUCGCUGGACUGUGACAAAUGCCAACAAAAAGUGGCCGAGUCAACGGUUUCCAGUUUACUGCCAACAAUGCAACACUCACGCGGGGCAGGGCUUGCGCACGGAAAGCGGACUGAGCUCUAGGCUUCGGCUAAAUAAACAAGAAAAUGUGCC
rnacentral:lncRNA from 1 species